rnacentral:rRNA from 1 species
UAGGGAAUCUUCGGCAAUGGACGAAAGUCUGACCGAGCAACGCCGCGUGAGUGAAGAAGGUUUUCGGAUCGUAAAACUCUGUUGGUAGAGAAGAACGUUGGUGAGAGUGGAAAGCUCAUCAAGUGACGGUAACUACCCAGAAAGGGACGGCUAACUACGUGCCNG